rnacentral:rRNA from 1 species
GUGGGGAAUUUUGGACAAUGGGCGAAAGCCUGAUCCAGCCAUGCCGCGUGCAGGAUGAAGGCCUUCGGGUUGUAAACUGCUUUUGUACGGAACGAAAAGACUCUUUCUAAUAAAGAGGGUUCAUGACGGUACCGUAAGAAUAAGCACCGGCUAACUACGUGCCAGCAGCCGCGGUAAUACGGAGGGUGCGAGCGUUAAUCGGAAUUACGGGGCGUAAAGCGUGCGCAUGCGGUGAUGUAAGACAGAUGUGAAAUCCCCGGGCUCAACCUGGGAACUGCAUUUGUGACUGCAUCGCUGGAGUACGGCAGAGGGGGAUGGAAUUCCGCGUGUAGCAGUGAAAUGCGUAGAUAUGCGGAGGAACACCGAUGGUGACGGCAAUCCCCUGGGCCUGUACUGACGCUCAUGAACGAAAGCGUGGGGAGCAAACAGGAUUAGAUACCCUGGUAGUCC